rnacentral:rRNA from 1 species
UACGGGGGGGGCAAGCGUUGUUCGGAAUUACUGGGCGUAAAGGGCUCGUAGGCGGCCAACUAAGUCAUACGUGAAAUCCCUCGGCUUAACCGGGGAACUGCGUCUGAUACUGGAUGGCUUGAGUUCGGGAGAGGGAUGCGGAAUUCCAGGUGUAGCGGUGAAAUGCAUAGAUACCAUCAAGAACACCGAUUGCGAAGGCAGCUUACUAAGCUGUAACUGACGCUGAUGCACGAAAGCGUGGGGAUCGAACAGG